ACCCAUUGGACAAACUGAUGAGGUGAGACAAGGAAGACAUGUGAGGGGUCACUGAAGGUGCGGCAACAACAGGCAGCAUCAUCUACUGAAUAAUACCCAGCCAAGAGGGGUUGGAUCAGCACAACCCUGUAGGUGUGUUAGCAUGUGAAUGAAAGAAGGAUUGUGGGUAAUGCACGUAGUCCUGCUGUAAUACAAGCACAGUGUGCUUUCUUUUUACAAGUGCUUCAGAUUUUGAGCGCCACUCUCUAAUAAAAAGAAGGUAUGACUAUGAUUCAUGGGUAAAAAACAAAAACAAACUUCUCUAAAUUCUGCUUUGCUUCUUCAGUGUGUUAUUUUCAUAUUGUGUAAUUACCCAGAACUCAUUAAGCGAGGGGAAGAAAAUGGGAUUGAUCGGAUGACGGGAAGGUCUCUGGUGUCAAAACACCAAACAGUCACUAAAAAAACCAAAAAAGAAACCUUUACUCUACUGUGCUCAGCGAUGAGGAAGAUGAGCAGCACGAGCUGUACUAACAGAGGGCACAUCUUCACUGCCAACGUAAACAAAGACAUCCAAAGGGGACAAAGUUUCUGUUGCUUUGGCAGUCACAGAACAAGUUCAUAGUCCAGCUAAUUCAGAAAGCCAGAAAAGGAACUGACAGUCAACAGACCGGGCUCUCCUAGUCACAUGACCUGUGUACAACAUUGAGGGACGCAGCUGGGUCAGACGAACAGGACGUGCGUAUGACAGGCAAAGCUGUGCAGGCAAAUAGAUUUUCUGAACAUAUAUUUGUAAAAUAUAACCGACUACAUUACAUGUUUCAAAAACACAUAUUGACAUUGUGUAUCACUUAAUAUUAUCAUUUCUUAUUUUAUUUUGGGCAGGAGGAGGGGCGACGCCCCAUUGCCCUGUAUUGGCCAGCCGCCACUGCAUGACAAGUGUGCUUAGAUGAGUAUUAUGACGAGGACGAAUACGUGAUAAGCGAUUGACGACCACCUUAAACCCGUGUGAAAGGGUCUGCUGCCACUAGUGAGGCUGCCUGCACCUGCUCGUGUUGUGCCGUCAUGUUAUAGGAUAUUUGAUCAAAGAAUUAUCAUGUAAUGCUUUCAGUCAGUCACUGAGGAAUAGUAGAGGUUUGAGACCCAGGGCAGUUUACAUUGCUUAUCUCUGGUCCCCAUAAGGAUACAAUGAACCAGCUUCUUAUUGGAAUCCGACAGAAAAACUCCAUCAAAGAAAAGGAUAUUCUAAUAUCUUAUUCCAAUUAUUACCAAUACAAAAAUCAGCUAAGAUUCUGUGCAGGUUGGGAUCUUUUUCUUUCAAGUUAUUCAAUUUUAAUUUUCUGUACUAUUGUUAUUGUUUGCAAGACAAUAAGUUUGUAACUUAUUUUCAAACUAUACAUCAGCAGACCAUUUUCUGUAACCACUAUAAUGAGUUUGGUACCAAAAUCCUGAAUAUCGCAAAGUACACAGUACAUUUUACCGGAUAUAAAACAGACUGUGAAAAGUGUCCCAAUAUUUUUUUUUUUCAAUUCAAAUUUUUGCUUAGUCUCUGAUCACAACUUGACAGCUAAAAUGUACAAUUGGUGUCUUUUUGGAGUUGCAGGUAGCAACAGUGUUCAGCACCAUCCGAAGAGCUCUCUGGUCCAGCAAGUACAACUCCAACAUCCACAUGAACAGAGCACAAGCCUGUUUGCGGUCAGCCAAACGUGCGCUGGAACCUGAACAUGUGGACGAACGUUAUGUUCAGUCACGAGUCCAGAUUCUGCCAGUUGGAUCGCGGGGUCAAAGCGUGGAGAAGACGCAGAGAACGCGGAUUGCUGCACCGAUGGAGGAGCAUCUUUGGUGGAGCCAGUGUGAUGGAAAAACAACAAAGUCAAUAAAACUUAUAUUUUUAGAAAAUGUAAAUGAGAUGAAGAUGUUAGUUUGUACAGAGUCAUCUCCUCAUCCUCAGAAACACACAACAACCUCUCGCUACGGCCUCAUUGAAUACGCACAGACAAUCGGCUCAGCUCCACUCGAACACCAGCAACUUAACUAAGCACCGUCUCUUUGUGCUCCGUCACCUGGUGCAAACAAUGCAAUGUUUUACCGGCUCAAACGAGGCGGAGCUGGUACCAUCCUGGUCAUGUGCACACACAUGGAAGUGCACGUGCGCCGCGUUGGACACUGAAUGGUCCGUGUGUCCUUCGUGGUCCGCGCUAACAUUUGUUCCUUAAGUGGAACGACAUGACAUCUCACAUGACAUGGUUACGCCGUUUGGUUUAGCAUUUCUUUCUACUGGAUAAAUAGUAUUUUUACUCGGAGUAGACAUUA